AUGCCAAAAUAUCACCGUGCUCAAAGAAAUCACACAAACACACGCACGCAAAUAUUGAUGGCUUUGAUGCUGAAGAUGAAGGCCCUAAAGAAGAAGGGGAUGAAGGUGGAGGCCACAAGGAGGACGGUGAAGAUGACACCAGAGGCAAAGGUCCCGAAGAAAAGCACAGCGGGGAGGAUGAGGAAGGUGACACUGAAGAUGAAGGCCUCGAGGAGGAUGGGGAGGAUGAGGAAGGUGAUGCUGAAGAUGAAGGCCCUGAGGAUGGUGAGGAUGAGGAAGGGGGUGAUGCUGAAGAUGAAGGCCUCGAGGAGGAUGAGGAGGAUGGUGAGGAUGAGGAAGGUGACACUGAAGAUGAAGGCUUCGAGGAGGAUGGUGAGGAUGAGAAUGAGGAAGGUGACACUGAAGAUGAAGGCCUCGAGGAGGAUGGGGAGGAUGAGGAGGAUGGUGAGGAUGAGGAAGGUGACACUGAAGAUGAAGGCCUCGAGGAGGAUGGUGAGGAUGAGGAGGAUGGUGAGGAUGAGGAAGGUGACGCUGAAGAUGAAGGCCUCGAGGAGGAUGGUGAGGAUGAGGAGGAUGGUGAGGAUGAGGAGGAUGGUGAGGAUGAGGAGGACGACACCAAAACCCUAUAGGGGGUGGGGAUGAAGGCCACGAUGAGGAAGACAACGAUAAGAACGGAGGACGAAGAACGGAUUCAGGGCUGCGAGCGGCCGUCACCCCUCAGCCUUCCUCCCUCCUCUUCCUCCUCCUCCUCCCCCCGACCCCCCCCCCCCCAAAAAACCCUCUCCCCAUCAGCACAAGGCCUUUAAUGAGCGGCGCCCUUAACGAAGGCGACGCCUCUUAACGAAGCGCAAACGCGGCCAGACCUCCAACGGAGACCACCGCAGAGUCCCCACCUCCGUUCCGACGCCGCCAGGAGGUGACAAAACCUGAGGGGGGGUCCCUCGGGGGUCCCUCGGGGGUCCCGUUAGAUGCGGAAGCUCUCGGCCUUGCCGUCGAUGUGCCGCAGCCUCAGGUAGACGUCGGUUCCCACCCCCUGCAGGGACUGCAGGCACAGGGAGCCGCCCAGGUAUUCGGCGUAGGCUCUGGAGGUGGGCAGCCCGAAGCCGAAGCUGUGGGGUUUUGUCGGGGUGUCAAGGAGGCGUCGAACCCUUUGUGGGGUGUCGGUGAAUAAAUCGGGGUUGUGCGGGUGUCUUUUUUUUUUU
rnacentral:lncRNA from 1 species